GAUGAACGCUGGCGGCGUGCCUAAUACAUGCAAGUCGAGCGAACAGAUAAGGAGCUUGCUCCUUUGACGUUAGCGGCGGACGGGUGAGUAACACGUGGGUAACCUACCUAUAAGCCUUGGAUAACUUCGGGAAACCGGAGCUAAUACCGGAUAACAUUUGGAACCGCAUGGUUCUAAAGUGAAAGAUGGUUUUGCUAUCACUUAUAGAUGGACCCGCGCCGCAUUAGCUAGUUGGUAAGGUAACGGCUUACCAAGGCGACGAUACGUAGCCGACCUGAGAGGGUGAUCGGCCACACUGGAACUGAGACACGGUCCAGACUCCUACGGGAGGCAGCAGUAGGGAAUCUUCCGCAAUGGGCGAAAGCCUGACGGAGCAACGCCGCGUGAGUGAUGAAGGGUUUCGGCUCGUAAAACUCUGUUAUUAGGGAAGAACAAAUGUGUAAGUAACUGUGCACGUCUUGACGGUACCUAAUCAGAAAGCCACGGCUAACUACGUGCCAGCCGCCGCCGUAA
rnacentral:rRNA from 1 species